rnacentral:tRNA from 1 species
GCCUUCGUGGUGCAAUGGUCAACACACUGGGCUCAUAUUCGGGAGGUCUGAGGUUCGAGUCCCGUCGAGGGCA